CCCGACCAUUGCUACUACCUUAACGUGGUGGUCGGGCUUUCCUAUCGUGAUGAACCAAUCGGGCUGGGACAAUCGUUCCCUAAUAUCCCACCAUGCCAGACCUGUCGGUUGAAGAGCGGUAAGACUAAAAGCAGU
rnacentral:ribozyme from 1 species